rnacentral:tRNA from 1 species
GGAGAGGUGUCCGAGCGGUUUAUGGUGCUGGUCUUGAAAACCAGUGAGGGUCAAACCUCCGUGGGUUCGAAUCCCACCCUCUCCGCCA